rnacentral:rRNA from 1 species
CCUACGGGAGACAGCAGUAGGGAAUCUUUCACAAUGGGCGAAAGCCUGAUGGAGCAACGCCGCGUGCAGGAUGAAGGCCUUCGGGUUGUAAACUGCUUUUAUAAGCGAGAAAUAUGAUGGUAACUUAUGAAUAAGGAUCGGCUAACUACGUGCCAGCAGCCGCGGUCAUACGUAGGAUCCGAGCAUUAUCCGGAGUGACUGGGUGUAAAGAGUUGCGUAGGUGGGAUAAUAAGUAGCUAGUGAAAUCUGGUGGCUCAACCAUUCAGACUAUUAGCUAAACUGUUAAGCUCGAGACCGUUAGGGGUAAGUGGAAUUUCUAGUGUAGGAGUGAAAUCCGUAGAUAUUAGAAGGAACACCAAUAGCGUAGGCAGGUUGCUGGGACGGUUCUGACACUAAGGCACGAAAGCGUAGGGAGCAAACGGGAUUAGAUACCCGGGUAGUC